rnacentral:lncRNA from 1 species
UUUAGAGGAAGACAUGAACUCACCUAUACAGAAGCUGCCUUCCAUGUCAGGAUGUCCUGCUGUCCACAUGGAGACUGGAGGCCACGUGGCAGAAAACUGAUGUGUCCCAGCUGAGAGACAAGACCAACUGCCAGAUGUUGGAAUGAAGUCCCCUUCAUGUCAUAGCCCAAACUGAACUCUCAACUAAAUGCAGCAAUCAUUGGUGCGAUCCACAUAGCUUGCCUCUCUGGGUAAAUCUGUGCUUGGCAGUGCAUGCCUGUCUGCCUGACUCCCGAGCCUCCAGCAUAGCCCCCUUUCUCACCCUGAUUGAAAGCCUCAGGAAUGGCCAUUUGGUAUCCCCUUCGCAACACCCUGAAAUGAGAUUCUGUCUCCUGCAGAGGCCACUUUGCACUGAUGCACAAUGGUAAGUAUUCCUCAGGCCUGAAACCCCAUCAAAGGUUCAUCUCAUCCUGAAAAGUCAGAAAGGACCCAGGUGGUGAGGGGUGAGGCAAGGGAGGUCAUCACCCCGUACCCACGCC